ACAAAACCCCGCACACCGGUGGCUAGGCUGACUCGGGCGAGUUGUUUCAGUUUCGCUCGUAGAACGAGGAAUUCGAAUAUUUCAAUCCGUGCGUGAAUCGCGACCACUUGCGACGUACGUUCACGGUAUAUAUAAUCGGUUUGUUUAAAAAUUUUAAGAAAUUCGUGUAAAUUGUUUCUUCUUCUCUCUUCUCGUCCGCAAUUUUUUAAUUUUUCAUCAAACUGAUUGUGAAUUAGAUGUGACGAAUACGCAAGAAAUUAAAGAAAUGAAUCAAGAUUAAACAUUCUUAAAUACAAAAAAAUAAUUAUGAAAAAUAAAAAAAAACUGUCGCGUAUAAAAAUUUUUUAAUUUCUUCACGAAACCGUUCAUCAAGCGUCAUGCAUAUAAGCAAUUAUUCGGGAUGAUCCCGCAGCCGCGUCUACGGCGUCGAUCUGCAACCCCCCACAGAUUCUGGUUACAUGCAGCAUCCGACCAUCGUGAAGAAAAUCUCUUGGCGUCAAAUCUCCGAGAAAAUCCACUUAGAUAACGAAGCUAAUUGCGGGGAAGGACUUUGAGCAGUCUCAUAGCAGCUCUGCAUCUACAACGCAGAAUUUGUCGGUGCAUCCACAUGAGUGUCUAAUCCAUGAUAUUUGUGAACCUAA